CAUCAACGCAAAUCGUCGGCAGUGCUGCAUAGGAUUUGUUCGAGAAUGCCUCCAAAUAAGUGCAUUUUUGGAUGUGAGGGAAAGUUUACCUUGUUCAGCUUCCCCAAGAACCCAGUGUUACAUGAACAGUGGAUGCAGUUUGUUCUUCCGCGACAGCAACAAGUGUAGCAAGUGCGUUUGUGUGUUCUGGUCAUUUGAGUGACGAAUGUUUCAUAAACAAGGCCCAAGUCGACGCUGGAUUUGCACAUCGUUUUCUAUUAAAACAUGGAGCCGUCCCUGUGAUAAAAGACCCCAUUCAUAACCAAGAUACUCCAAUGGCCUCAAUCAGUACCCCAAACAGAAUGGACGUCCCUGCAGCAUACCUGUCCAACAGGGUCAACACAAAGAUCCCUCCCUGUCAUGACCGAGAUAUGACAAAGACAAAACUCUGCUGAAUAAAGGACUUCCCUUGAUUAAUUCAUCAUUUCAUUGCUUUUAUGUUAAUUUGAUUUUGAAGUCAUCUGACAGACCAGUGAUCACUGCCUCCAUGCCACCCAUCUAAACAGGACAUUACAUUAAAAAAAGGGAAUAUGUUUUAGAACCAUA